GGGUCUAUCCAUUGGUCGGGCCUUACGGUCCGUACUGGUUCGAUGGGUUCCUACCUUCUGAAUAACCGGCAUGCCAUUCAGUUGGUGCGCCGGGGAAGCAGAGCUAUUACCUUGAAAAAAUUAGAGUGCUUAAAGCAGGCUAUUGCUUGAAUAGAUUAGCAUGGAAUAAUAAAAUAGGACGGCAUGGUUCUAUUUUGUUGGUUUCUAGGAUCACCGUA
rnacentral:rRNA from 1 species